rnacentral:lncRNA from 1 species
CUCACCUCCCUAUGGGAUGUUCACUCUGAUCUGAAUCCACUGGUAUUGACGUGUCCUUGACAUAAUAAUCAAAUGUGGAUGCAUCUAUACAAAAACAAUUCAUUAUUAACCAAGCUGGGGUACAGCUUAGUGAUGGAGCACUUGUCAACCUGUCCCUUGAUUGGCUUCAGAAGUAGCCAGAGAAGGGGUAAACAGGUAUGUUUUGCAGCAUUACAAAAAGGAGACAAUCCCAGCAAGCAUCAGUGUUGA